rnacentral:rRNA from 1 species
AUUUAACGCUGGCGGCAGGCCUAACACAUGCAAGUCGAGCGGUUGAAGUUAGCUUGCUCCUUGAUUCAGCGGCUGACGGGUUAGUAAUGCCUAGGAAUCUUCCUGGUAGUGGGGGAUAACUUCCGGAAACGGGCGCUAAUACCGCAUACGUCCUGAGGGAGAAAGUGGGGGAUCUUCGGACCUCACGCUAUCAGAUGAUCCUAGGUCGGAUUAGCUAGUUGGUGGGGUAAAGGCAUACCAAGGCGACGAUCCGUAACUGGUCUGAGAGGAUGAUCAGUCAAACUGGAACGGAGAAACGGUCCAGACUAAUAAGGGAGGCAGAAGUGGGGAAUAUUGGACAAAGGGAGAAAGCCUGAUCCAGGCAUGACGCGGGUGUGAAGAAGGUAUUCGGAUUGUAAAGCACAUUAAGUUGGGAGGAAGGGAAGUAAGUUAAUACCUUGCUGUUUUGACGUUACCAAAAGAAUAAGCACCGGCUAACUUCGUG